UGCAUUGCCUUCUGGGUGCUGGCACAUGAGCGCGAGUGCAAUUUUUGACACAGGAGCCCAAAAAAUGUUAGCUAUAAGACAUCCUCCAACUCUAAGGUUCUAUAAAAGUUUCUAUGAUAUGUUUUGUUCAAUGUCCUUUAUUGUAUCCCCCUUCCACUGAGAUCCGUUGGCCAAGGCAUACACGGAAGAGGCCUUCAUCCUUCAGUGGAUAGAUGGCCAUGGUUAAAAUGAUGAUGACCGUGAAGGAUGGUCAACAAAGUGAUCUGGGCAGCAAUGGCAACAGCUGUGGCAGUCAUGCUACUCUGAAGAUCUAGCAAGGAGAACCUCUGGGGCAACCAUGGCCUGGAUGGCUGAGAAUCUCCAUAGACACUUGGCUUCAACUAACAGUCUCCAAGAAUUCACUUUCUCUAAUAUGUUUUCUCUCUUUACCUCUCUCUCUGUGCCUUUUUUUCUUUUCUUUUUUUACAAAAGUACGAUUUUGUCAAAAGCAAACCUAUGCUUGUUACUCCUCUCCCCGUUUCAAUCACAAUAUCCAAAUAAAAGUUCACCAUCCAAUG